UGCAAGUCGAGGGGUAACAGGGAGCUUGCUCCGCUGACGACCGGCGCACGGGUGCGUAACGCGUAUACAAUCUACCUUGUACUAAGGUAUAGCCCAGAGAAAUUUGGAUUAAUCCCUUAUAGUCUAUAGUGGUGGCAUCAUUAUUAUAGUAAAGGUUACGGUACAAGAUGAGUAUGCGUCCUAUUAGUUUGUUGGUGUGGUAACGGCACACCAAGGCUACGAUAGGUAGGGGCCCCUGAGAGGGGGAUCCCCCACACUGGUACUGAGACACGGACCAGACUCC
rnacentral:rRNA from 2 species